CCCUUAGACGUUCUGGGCCGCACGCGCGCUACACUGGCGAAGGCAACGAGCUACUCUUCACCGAAAGGUGUGGGUAAUCUUUUGAAACUUCGUCGUGCUGGGGAUAGAUCCUUGCAAUUUUUGAUCUUAAACGAGGAAUUCCUAGUAAGCGCAAGUCAUCAACUUGCGUUGAUUACGUCCCUGCCCUUUGUACACACCGCCCGUCGCUACUACCGAUUGAAUGGUUUAGUGAGGCCUUCGGAUCCGCGAUUUUAUUGUGGAGAAGUUGGACAAACUCAGUCAUUUAGAGGAAGUAAAAGUCGUAACA
rnacentral:rRNA from 1 species